rnacentral:rRNA from 1 species
UACGAAGGGGGCUAGCGUUGUUCGGAAUUACUGGGCGUAAAGGGCUCGUAGGCGGCCAACUAAGUCAGACGUGAAAUCCCUCGGCUUAACCGGGGAACUGCGUCUGAUACUGGAUGGCUUGAGUUUGGGAGAGGGAUGCAGAAUUCCAGGUGUAGCGGUGAAAUGCGUAGAUAUCUGGAGGAAUACCGGUGGCAAAGGCGGCAUCCUGGACCGGCAUUGACGCUGAGGAGCGAAAGCCAGGGGAGCAAACGGG